AAACCAUGGUGAGGGCACUCUCUGCGGUACUCUUUGUAUCUCUCCCAAGCCUUGCAGAAGGCUUCUCCGGUUUGCUGUUGGAAUGUCGAGAUCUUGUUCCGUAGAGC
rfam:Eutrema salsugineum unplaced genomic scaffold scaffold_8, whole genome shotgun sequence.